rnacentral:rRNA from 1 species
GCACAAGCGGUGGAGCACGUGGUUUAAUUCGAUGCAAACCGAAGAACCUUACCUGGGUUUGACAUGUGCGUGUUACUGAGGUGAAAGCCGAGGGACCAUAUCUUCGGAUGUGGAGCGUACACAGGUGCUGCAUGGCUGUCGUCAGCUCGUGUCGUGAGAUGUUGGGUUAAGUCCCGCAACGAGCGCAACCCUUGUCAUUAGUUGCUACAUUCAGUUGGGCACUCUAAUGAGACUGCCGGUGACAAGCCGGAGGAAGGUGGGGAUGACGUCAAGUCCUCAUGGCCCUUAUAGGUGGGGCUACACACGUCAUACAAUGGCUGGUACAAAGGGUUGCCAACCCGCGAGGGGGAGCCAAUCCCAUAAAGCCAGUCGUAGUCCGGAUCGUAGUCUGCAACUCGACUACGUGAAGUCGGAAUCGCUAGUAAUCGUGGAUCAGAAUGUCACGGUGAAUACGUUCCCGGGUCUU